rnacentral:pre_miRNA from 1 species
UAAACGCCGUAGCUUGACACAGAGCCAUAGUUCAGUAUACUGUAUAAGGCACUGUGCCAAGCUGCGGCAUCUA